rnacentral:rRNA from 1 species
GAAGGUCCCAAGGGUUGUUCGGAAUCACUGGGCGUAAAGGGAGCGUAGGCGGCGUGGUAAGUCAGAUGUGAAAUCCCGGGGCUCAACCCCGGAACUGCAUCCGAUACUGCCAUGCUAGAGGAUUGGAGAGGUAGCUGGAAUUCUUGGUGUAGCAGUGAAAUGCGUAGAGAUCAAGAGGAACACUCGUGGCGAAAGCGAGCUACUGGACAAUUCCUGACGCUGAGGCUCGAAGGCUAGGGUAGCGAAAGGGAUUAGAUACCCCUGUAGUCCUAGCAGUAAACGGUGCACGCUUGGUGUGAGGGGAAUCGACCCCCCUUGUGCCGGAGCUAACGCGUUAAGCGUGCCGCCUGGGAAGUACGGUCGCAAGACUA